rnacentral:tmRNA from 1 species
GGGUUUGAAGUUCGCCGCCUGAGCGCCUAUAUUGGCCGAUGUUGGGCUUCGGCCCCUCUAUGGCAAUAAAAGGCGUCGUGAAAUAGAUGCAGCGGACCCGGGGGCAGUACCCGGCGGCUCCACCAGACUCCCCGGUUGUCGCGGGACGCGAGGGGCCGAACCAGGAUCGACGUGUGUUGAAAGACGAGAGCUUUUGCCCGGCAUGAAUACGCCGUUAAAUGUUUCAAAAACCCAUAAAUGCCAACGACAACGAGGCAUUCGCAAUCGCAGCGUAACCUAAGAUCCUCACGGAUCUAGUUACACUGGCCGAAAGCGCGGCAGGGACCACGCCGGGCAACAGAAGUGGAAACCAGCGGCCCGGGGGGCGCCGGGCAACAGAAGCCCCCCAUC